rnacentral:rRNA from 1 species
AGAGUUUGAUCCUGGCUCAGGAUGAACGCUGGCGGCGCACUUAAGACAUGCAAGUCGAACGGAAAUUUAUUUGAAGUUUACUUUAGAUAAAUUUUAGUGGCGGACGGGUGAGUAAUACGUAGGCAACCUGCCUCAAAGAGAGGGAUAACUGGGAGAAAUUUCAGCUAAUACCUCAUAAGACCACACUGCGGCAUCGCAGAGGGGUCAAAGGAGUAAUCCGCUUUGAGAUGGGCCUACGGCUGAUUAGUUUGUUGGUGGGGUAACGGCCUACCAAGACUAUGAUCAGUAGCCGGGCUGAGAGGCUGGCCGGCCACAUUGGGACUGAGACACGGCCCAGACUCCUACGGGAGGCAGCAGUCGGGAAUAUUGGACAAUGGGGGAAACCCUGAUCCAGUGACGCCGCGUGAAGGAAGAAGGUCUUCGGAUUGUAAACUUAUUUUAUUAGGGAAGAAACAAAUGACUGUACCUAAAGAAAAAGCACCGGCUAACUACGUGCCAGCAGCCGCGGUAAUACGUAGGGUGCAAGCGUUAUCCGGAUUUACUGGGUGUAAAGGGCGAGUAGACGGGAGAUUAAGUCAGAUGUGAAAACUUAGGGCUCAACCUUAAGACUGCAUCUGAAACUGGUUUUCUUGAGUGCUGGAGAGGUAAGCGGAAUUCCUAGUGUAGCGGUGAAAUGUGUAGAUAUUAGGAAGAACACCAGUGGCGAAGGCGGCUUACUGGACAGUAACUGACGUUGAGGAGCGAAAGUGUGGGGAGCAAACAGGAUUAGAUACCCUGGUAGUCCACACUGUAAACGAUGGAUACUAGGUGUUGGCAAGCGAUUGUCAGUGCCGGCGCUAACGCAAUAAGUAUCCCACCUGGGGAGUACGACCGCAAGGUUGAAACUCAAAGGAAUUGACGGGGGCCCGCACAAGCAGUGGAGUAUGUUGUUUAAUUCGACGCAACGCGAAGAACCUUACCAAGACUUGACAUAUACAGGAAUAGUUAAGAAAUUAGCUAGUUCUUCGGAACUUGUAUACAGGUGAUGCAUGGUUGUCGUCAGCUCGUGUCGUGAGAUGUUGGGUUAAGUCCCGCAACGAGCGCAACCCCUGUUCUUAGUUGCCAGCACGUAAUGGUGGGAACUCUAAGAAGACUGCCGGUGACAAAUCGGAGGAAGGUGGGGAUGACGUCAAAUCAUCAUGCCCUUUAUGUCCUGGGCUACACACGUACUACAAUGGCUGUAACAAAGGGAAGCGAAGCCGCGAGGUGGAGCAAAACCCAAAAAAGCAGUCUCAGUUCAGAUUGAAGGCUGAAAUUCGCCUUCAUGAAGUCGGAAUUGCUAGUAAUGGCAGGUCAGCAUACUGCCGUGAAUACGUUCCCGGGCCUUGUACACACCGCCCGUCA